AGGAUUCCCUUAGUAACGGCGAGUGAAGAGGGAGAAGCCCAGCACUGAAGCCUGCGGCAGUUUUGCUGUUAGGCAAUGUAGUGUUUGGGUCGGUUUGCGGGAUCGCCACUCCACUCGAAGUCCAGCAUUGAGUAUGGUCACUGGAUUUGGCCCAGAGAGGGUGAAAGGCCCGUCCGGGUGGAGGAUCAGAAAUGUAAGGCGAUUCACUAGGCCGGCCGUAGAGUCGGGUUGUUUGAGAAUGCAGCCCAAAGUGGGUGGUAAACUCCAUCCAAGGCUAAAUACAAGCGCGAGUCCGAUAGCGAACAAGUACCGUGAGGGAAAGUUGAAAAGUACUCUGAAGAGAGAGUAAACAGUACGUGAAACCGCAUGCAGGUAAACGGGUGGCGUCAAGCUGCGAGCCUGGAGGAUUCAGCCGGUUAGGAUGUUGUGUAUGCGCCUGGCGCAUCAAUCAGCCAGAGUAUGAUUGGGUAGUCCACCUGUAGAGGGUGGGCCCGGCCGCAAGGUUUGGGUAUGCGUACCGGGUGGGUGCCGGAGCAUGCUAUCCGUCUGUGGGCUGUCUAGCCGGUGCACUUUCUCUGUGGCUGACACCACGACCGGUGGAAUUGCCAGUCUGCUGUGUCCAAGUUGUAUCCUGUAGGUCAUCUGGCCAACGGGGUAUGAUGACAGGCAAAUUCAGUAUACGGCGUAGGGGUGUUUCGGCAACUCUGCGUGUUAUCGGCUACUGGUUGUCAACGGGUCGCCUAGCGUUUGUUGUAACCGGCGCUUGGGUGGCCCGGUGGGGCAUGGUGGUAAGAAAAACUGUGCAAGGCACCGGGUUUGGCGGCCUCAAAUGCGUCCCGCACCCACGUUACAAGUGGUGCACGGCAGUGCCGUUGGUGUCUGCUCGGUGUUGAGUCUGAUUGCCGUGUCGUCCACGAAAAGUGGGCCCGGUAGUGGCUCGACUCGAGAUGGGCAGUUGACGGUGUUGUUAGUGUGGGGCGCCGUGGGCCUGAUAGUCUGUGGUGUUGUGGUAGACGAGCUACCCGACCCGUCUUGAAACACGGACCAAGGAGUUUAACAUGUGUGCGAGUCAAUGGGCUUUACGAAACCCAAAGGCGCAGUGAAAGUGAAGCUCCGACUUGUCUCGGGGCGAGGUGAGAUCCCGCCGUUACUCGCAUCAGCCUAAUGCCAGCAUCAGGCAAAGAGCGGCGGGCGCAUCACCGGCCCGUCCCAUGAUGUGGUCAUUGGAUAUCUGCGGUUGUUGCUUCGGUGGCGGCCGUGGAGCCAGUGCAUCAUCGGGGCGGAGCAUGAGCAUACACGUUGAGAC
rnacentral:rRNA from 1 species